rnacentral:lncRNA from 1 species
UAUGGGUAUCCACUCAGGAUCAACCUAGAAUAGCUCUCUUUGGUAUUAAUUUUAUUCUCUAAGAAAAAUCAGCCUGCGAAUUUGAAUGAAGCCUGGAUCACGAUCAACUCUUUGAUCCUUUUCUUGAUCUUCUUCUUCUCUUCUUCUCUUACUUUUCUUUCCUUGAUUAUGAAGCAAUCAAUAUCUGAAAACCAUCAAGCAAAGGGGCAUCCAAACACCUUUUUGGCAUGGAGAAGCGGGAUGCCCAAACUCCUUGGGUAUUGGACUUCAAGAGG